rnacentral:rRNA from 1 species
AGAUUGAACGCUGGCGGCAGGCCUAACACAUGCAAGUCGAGCGGUAGAGAGGUGCUUGCACCUCUUGAGAGCGGCGGACGGGUGAGUAAUGCCUAGGAAUCUGCCUAGUGGUGGGGGAUAACGUUCGGAAACGGACGCUAAUACCGCAUACGGUCCGUACGGGAGAAAGCGGGGGACCUUCGGGCCUCGCGCCAUUAGAUGAGCCUAGGUCGGAUUAGCGUAGUUGGUAGAGGUAAUGGCUCACCAAGGCGACGAUCCGUAACUGGUCUGAGAGGAUGAUCAGUCACACUGGAACUGAGACACGGU